rnacentral:rRNA from 1 species
AUGAACGGUAUAUUUUGGAACUGCAGGGGAGCAGGUAAGAAAGGGAUGACUACCUGCUCCGCUGAUAUAAUAAAAGAUCAUUCCCUGGACUUCCUUGGUAUCCAGGAAACUAAGAAGAAGAAUUUCACCCCUAAACUCCUUAGAAAAAUUGACCCUCUUGAUAAGUUCAAUUGGAACUGGAUCCCUUCGAUUGGUAAGUCUGGAGGCAUAUUGUGUGGGACUAGGAGAGAAACCUUGGAGAUUAUUUCCUGGUCGGGGGGUGAAUUCCUUAUGCAGACUACUGUCUUUGAUGUGAACCUCAAAUGUGUGUGGACCCUAGUGGUGGUAUAUGGGGCAGCCCAAAAAGAGAGAAAAAAUGAUUUCCUUGCAGAAUUGGCUACGACAUGUGCGACGAUUAGUAUUCCUUAUGUGGUUGGUGGUGAUUUUAAUAUCUUAUGUGAAAGUGGUGACAAGAAUAAAAAAUUAACCUACUCCCAAAAUACAGAUAGCUUCAACGUCAGUCCCUGA